rnacentral:rRNA from 1 species
GCUGGCGGUAGGCCUAACACAUGCAAGUCGAACGGCAGCACAGAGGAGCUUGCUCCUUGGGUGGCGAGUGGCGGACGGGUGAGGAAUACAUCGGAAUCUACUCUGUCGUGGGGGAUAACGUAGGGAAACUUACGCUAAUACCGCAUACGACCUACGGGUGAAAGCAGGGGAUCUUCGGACCUUGCGCGAUUGAAUGAGCCGAUGUCGGAUUAUCUAGUUGGCGGGGUAAAGGCCCACCAAGGCGACGAUCCGUAGCUGGUCUGAGAGGAUGAUCAGCCACACUGGAACUGAGACACGGUCCAGACUCCUACGGGAGGCAGCAGUGGGGAAUAUUGGACAAUGGGCGCAAGCCUGAUCCACCCAUACCGCGUGGGUGAAGAAGGCCUUCUGGUUGUAAAGCCCUUUUGUUCGGGAAAGAAAUCCC